AAUUCAUUGGUGUUAAAUUUCAAGUGUUGUGGGCUUUGGUUAUAAAAAGGCAUCCUCAAAACCAACAGUUUCAACAAAAUGGAGAAUGUGUUCAUAACACUGACUGAUCGCCAAGGAACAUUAUCAUUAACUGUCUCCAAAGAAAUUGCAGAAAAAAUAAAGCAAGAUCACAAAUAUGCAGCAUGUCUAAUGCAGCAAGUGAGAUCUGCAACACUGAAAGAAGAUAGUAGUCAUCAUCCAGCCUCUUUGGCACCAUGUCCCCCUUUAGCUACAAGUCAUUGUACAGUGUCUUUGACCAAAUGCCCUCCGCCUCCAGUCAUUACUCUUUCAGUCACGAUCCACAAUCCUACACCUUUGUCCCAGUGCCCCCCUCCAAAGAUCACUCCUGGUCCAGCAUUUGUUAAAUGUUCUGGUAAAACAAAAACCAUAGAUCUCACUAAAGCCCCACAAGGACCCAAUCUUCAGAUACAUUUAAAACAGACAGAAUGCGACAAAAUCCAAGGUAUGUUCCAUUUCAAAAUGCAUAUGUAAUCUUUCUGUAAAGCUUUUUCUAAAUUACAAAUUGUUUUCACAGAAUUCACACACAGGACCACACUGCUGCUGCUUGACCUCACACAAGCAAACAUGCA